rnacentral:rRNA from 1 species
UGUAGCUUGACAUUGGGUCUUGGUACUACAUGUACAGGAUAGGUGGGAGGCUUUGAAACCAGGACGCCAGUUUUGGCGGAGCCAUCCUUGGGAUACCACCCUUGUAGUACUGGGACUCUAACCAUAGGCCAUGAAUCUGGUCUUGGGACACUGUCAGGUGGGCAGUUUGACUGGGGCGGUCGCCUCCCAAAAGGUAACGGAGGCGCUCAACGGUUCUCUCAGUACGGUCGGAAAUCGUACGUAGAGGGUAAAGGCAAAAGAGAGCUUGAUUGCAAGACAUACAGGUCGAGCAAGGAUGAAAAUCGGCCUUAGUGAUCCGGUGGUUCUGCGUGGAAGGGCGAUCGCUCAACGGAUAAAAGCUACCCUGGGGAUAACAGGCUUAUCCCCCCCAAGAGUCCACAUCGACGGGGAGGUUUGGCACCUCG